rnacentral:rRNA from 1 species
GGGCCCGCACAACCGGCGGAGCAUGCGGAUUAAUUCUAUGCAACGCGAAGAACCUUACCAAGGCUUGACAUGGGCCGGACCGGGCUGGAAACAGUCCUUCCCCUUUGGGGCCGGUUCACAGGUGGUGCAUGGUUGUCGUCAGCUCGUGUCGUGAGAUGUUGGGUUAAGUCCCGCAACGAGCGCAACCCUCGUUCCAUGUUGCCAGCGCGUAAUGGCGGGGACUCAUGGGAGACUGCCGGGGUCAACUCGGAGGAAGGUGGGGACGACGUCAAAUCAUCAUGCCCCUUAUGUCUUGGGCUUCACGCAUGCUACAAUGGCCGGUACAAAGGGUUGCGAUACUGUGAGGUGGAGCUAAUCCCAAAAAGCCGGUCUCAGUUCGGAUUGGGGUCUGCAACUCGACCCCAUGAAGUCGGAGUCGCUAGUAAUCGCAGAUCAGCAACGCUGCGGUGAAUACGUUCCCGGGCCUUGUACACACCGCCCGUCAAGUCACGAAAGUUGGUAACACCCGAAGCCGGUGGCCUAACCCCUUGUGGGAGGGAGCUGUCGAAGGUGGGACUGGCGAUUGGGACU